GAUUGAGUGUAAGCUGCUAUAUGAAGGGAUCCACAAGACGAAUAAUUAAGGGGGACCUCUGAUCAACAGCCAGCAAGGAACUGAAUCCCUCAGACCCACAACUCACAAGAAACUGAAGCUGAAGCAGAUUCUUCCUCAGUCAAGCUUCAGGUGCCCAGCUGUAUUGGUAGAGGAGACCAACCACACCCUCCACAGCACAGCACCUGGAGAGGAACUGCUGCCAUGACCAUAGAGGACACCCUCUGGAUACAAUGCCAGACUUGAUGUGGGACUGACCAACCUAUGGACCCCAGGCACCACCACCCAGACCUGCUCAGCACCUGAAACAUUCACAGCCGUGGAGAGAGAACUGUUCACUGCUACCAUCCACACUUCUGGGCCCCUUCAGCAGCAGGGUGACAAGGAAGAGGGAAAUCGACUUGGAAAAGAGAGACAGGCUCUCACUAUGUGGCCCAGGUUGGUCUCAAACUCCUGGCCUCCAGUGAUCCUCCCACCUUGGCUGUCCAAAGUGCUGUAAUUACAGGGGACCUCUGACCCAAGAGUUCGGUCAAUGCAUAUGUUGGCAGCCAGCUGCACAUCGCACCAAAUAUGAACUUCAAAUAGAAGAAAGCCUCAUUUGGAAGAAAGCUCAUGCACAGACUGUAAAUAUUUCAGAGCAGAUUGUGUCUCUGUAGAUUAAGUAAGUUGUGAAAGUCUGAACCUCUGCCAAAAUUUUAAGACCUUGACCUUUACAUCUCUGAGUUUCUAUCUGUCAUUUUUCCUUUCUAUCUGUCAUUUUACCUUUCAUACUUAUAAAAUGGAAUUCAUAAUC
rnacentral:lncRNA from 1 species